UACGUAGGGCGCAAGCGUUGUCCGGAAUUAUUGGGCGUAAAGAGCUCGUAGGCGGCUUGUCACGUCGGGCGUGAAAGCCCGGGGCUUAACCCCGGGUCUGCAUUCGAUACGGGCAGGCUAGAGUGUGGUAGGGGAGAUCGGAAUUCCUGGUGUAGCGGUGAAAUGCGCAGAUAUCAGGAGGAACACCGGUGGCGAAGGCGGAUCUCUGGGACAUUACUGGCGCUGAGGAGCGAAAGCGUGGGGAGCGAACAGG
rnacentral:rRNA from 1 species